rnacentral:lncRNA from 1 species
CCUACGUGAAGAAGUUCAGCAUCGUGGGGACCCGCAGCAAUGACCCUGUGGCAUUUGCUCUUGCUGAAAUGCUGAAGGUGAACAAGGUGUUGAAGACGCUGAAUGUCGAGUCCAACUUCAUCUCCGGAGCUGGGAUCCUGUGCCUGGUGGAAGCUCUCCCCCACAACACUUCUCUGGUCGAACUGAAAAUCGACAACCAGGCCUUGCUGCAGACAGCGUGACACUGGCAGAGACAGCCCAGGGGCCCUUGGCGGCCGUGCUUUGGUGCUUAGGUGCACUUACAACAUGAAUGCAUCAGCACACAACACUUCCCACCUAGUUUGGAAGCAUGGUGAAACAAUUUAUUUCAGAUUUGAGCAUAGCAGCUCAGUAAAAGAACAUAGAUUCAUGAUUUUUCAACCCCACUUGAAACGUUAAAAUCAAGAUUAAAGCUGCCAAAUUGAUUCCAGGAUCAAGUCCCCACCCCCUAAGAAUGAAAGACAAGCCCCAGAAUUUUCUAAGAAUCAGAAAGACACAGGAUUCCUUCUGCCAGGUAAGAGAAAGGGGGAGAAAAAGGCAAUAGUGGAAUUGAGUUUCAAAACCUACCACGCCAAGCAACAGACAUGAGUGCUGUGUGAACACCUGGGAGGUUCUCAUCUGUAGUCAGAAAUCAUUUCUUCUUUAUUGAAUGCCAACUUCAUGAUGGAUGAAAACUUACAACCACAUAAAAACAUCUUCCAAUACCGCAGUGAGCCAACGGCUUAUGUGAGAUCAACACCAUUGGGUGAAUUUCCAGUCCACCAUGCCUGUGGUAUUUAGCAUGGCCCUGCUUACAGACACCAAGUGCCUGCCCGGUCACUUAGGAGACAAAUCAAAUCACACACGAAGCCUCUGAAGGACAGCAGAGUACAACAUCCCAAUGGUAAGGAAUUAGGAGAUCCUGGACAUACAACACAAGGAAUUAUUCUGAAACCUAAUCUUGGCAUUCCUACUGGAUCCCUUUAACACCAUGGGAGCCAGUAAAAAUGUUAAAAUACACUGUUCUUGUGCCUUUUAAUAGACCACAGUGCCAGUUAAACUAGUACUUUUGUUGCUUUGGGGAGUGUUUUCCUUAGGGAUUCAGCCGAUAUGACAGUGAUGGCUCAAAAGCUGCAGAGCACAGCCAGGGGCUUCUGACCUAAGACCUGCACACCGGACUGUAAGGCCAUGGACAGCACAGGGUAACUAGAGUGGCAUCGGGGCCUCAGCACUGUGAGUGGUCACUGAGGCCCAGGAGUGGCACCAAGCUGCAGGGACAGCCAGCUCCACUCAGCUUCUCCUUGAAACACAACUGCAGCUGCAUUCUGCAUCACUGGAAACUGCAAAAUAAUAUUAAAGCCAUUUGGUGUAUGUA